UUAAGUUCAGCGGGUAGCCCUACCUGAUUUGAGAUCAAACAUUCAAGAAGCUGUCCUCACCGAGGAGAGACAUUUGUGAGCUCCAGCGAACCUCCAUCACUGAAGGUUACCUGGUGGAAAACCACAAGCGUAGAUAGUUAUCACACCUGCGAUGCCACCAAACACUGGCAAGCUGAUUCAUUUGAGAGGAGCCGACCACA
rnacentral:misc_RNA from 1 species